GCGGGGAUAGCUCAGUUGGGAGAGCGUCAGAUUGAAGAUCUGAAGGUCGCGUGUUCGAUUCACGUUCACCGCA
rnacentral:ncRNA from 15 species